UACAGAGGUCUCAAGCGUUGUUCGGAUUCAUUGGGCGUAAAGGGUGCGUAGGCGGCGCGGUAAGUCGGGUGUGAAAUCUCGGAGCUUAACUCCGAAACUGCAUUCGAUACUGCCGUGCUUGAGGACUGGAGAGGAGACUGGAAUUUACGGUGUAGCGGUGAAAUGCGUAGAUAUCGAGAGGAACACCAGUGGCGAAGGCGAGUCCCUGGAAAACACCUGACACUGAGGCACGAAAGCUAGGGGAGCAAACAGG
rnacentral:rRNA from 1 species